rnacentral:lncRNA from 1 species
GUACACAUUUUCUGUAUCCAUUCCUCUGUUGAGGGGCAUCUGGGUUUUUUCCAGCUUCUGGCUAUUAUAAAUAAGGCUGCUAUGAACAUAGCGAGCAUGUGUCAUUCUUACCAGUUGGAACAUCUUCUGGAUAUAUACCCAGAAGAGGUAUUGCAGGAUCCUGUGGUAGUACUAUGUCCAAUUUUCUGAGGAACUGCCAGACUGAUUUCCAGAGUGGUUGUACAAGCUUGCAAUCCCACCAACAAUGGAGGAGUGUUCCUCUUUCUCCACAUCCUUGCCAGCAUCUGCUGUCACCUGAAUUUUGGAUCUUAGCCAUUCUGACUGGUGUGAGGUGGAAUCUCAGGGUUGUUUUGAUUUGCAUUUCCCUGAUGAUUAA